rnacentral:rRNA from 1 species
UACGUAGGGUGCAAGCGUUGUCCGGAAUUAUUGGGCGUAAAGAGCUCGUAGGCGGUCUGUCGCGUCUGCUGUGAAAACUCGGGGCUUAACUCCGGGCCUGCAGUGGGUACGGGCAGACUAGAGUGCGGUAGGGGAGACUGGAAUUCCUGGUGUAGCGGUGAAAUGCGCAGAUAUCAGGAGGAACACCGAUGGCGAAGGCAGGUCUCUGGGCAUUAACUGACGCUGAGGAGCGAAAGCAUGGGGAGCGAACAGG